GCUUCCACAUUCUCCUUGUUUCCUCCUUCAGAUUUUCUAGAUUAACUCUCAGGUUCCACGCAAGACAUCGGUCCAUGGCUGGUAUCAGAGCGGUGCUAGGUUCUAAUAAUUGGUAUCAAAGUAAUAUUAGGUUUUUUUCAAUUUGUAUCAGAGCAAUAUCAGGUUCCCUUCAAUCCCCGCACCACUGUUCCUGCACCACCAGCAUCCCUGGGCUUGCUUACCCAUUCUUUUGGUGAGUAUUAGCGAUGGUG
rnacentral:lncRNA from 1 species